rnacentral:rRNA from 1 species
AGAGCGAACGCUGGCGGCGUACUUAACACAUGCAAGUCGAACGGGGAUCGUCGGGUUAGCAAUAAUUCGGCGGUCCUAGUGGCGCACGGGUGAGUAACACGUGGGUAACCUGCCCUUGAGUUCGGGAUACCCCCUCGAAAGGGGGGCUAAUACCGGAUACGUUCCUCGGAUCGAAAGGUCUGGGGAGGAAAGGUGGCGCAAGCUGCCGCUCUUGGAGGGGCUCGCGGCCUAUCAGCUAGUUGGCGGGGUAAUGGCCCACCAAGGCGAUGACGGGUAGCUGGUCUGAGAGGACGACCAGCCACACGGGGACUGAGACACGGCCCCGACUCCUACGGGAGGCAGCAGUGGGAAUUUCCGCAAUGGCGAAAGCCUGACGGAGUGACGCCGCGUGUGGGACGAAGGCCUUCGGUCGUAAACCACUGUCAGUGGAAAGAAGGUAUCGGCGCGAUAACCGCCGGUAUUGACGUACCUGCAGAGGAGCCCCGGCCAACUCUGUGCCAGCAGCCGC